rnacentral:lncRNA from 1 species
AAGCAGAAUUUGAUAUGUCUGCCAUACCUAGAAAACGUGGUAGACCAAGAAAAAUCAAUCCAUCUGAAGAUGUAGGAUCUAAGGCUGUUAAGGAAGAGAGAAGCCCCAAGAAGAAAGAGGCUCCCAGCAUUAAAAGGAGAUCUACAAGAAAUACCCCAGCUAAAAGUGAAAAUGUUGAUGUUGGAAAACCAGCUUUAGGAAAAUCCAUUUUAGUGCCAAACGAGGAACUUUCGAUGGUGAUGAGCUCUAAGAAAAAACUUACAAAAAAGACUGAAAGUCAAAGUCAAAAACGUUCAUUGCACUCAGUAUCAGAAGAACGCACAGAUGAAAUGACACAUAAAGAAACAAAUGAGCAGGAAGAAAGAUUGCUCGCCACAGCUUCCUUCACUAAAUCAUCCCGCAGCACCAGGACUCAGUCUAGCAAGGCCAUCUUGUUGCCGGACCUUUCUGAACCAAACAAUGAGCCUUUAUUUUCUCCAGCGGCAGAAGUUCCAAGAAAGCAAAAGCUAAAAAAAUAGAGGUUCCUGCACAGCUGAAAGAAUUAGUUUCGGAUUUAUCUUCUCAGUUUGUCAUCUCACCUCCUGCUUUAAGGAGCAGACAAAAAAACACAUCCAAUAAGAACAAGCUUGAAGAUGAACUGAAAGAUGAUGCACAAUCAGUAGAAACUGUGGGAAAGCCAAAAGCGAAAGGAAUCAGGACGUCAAAAACAAAACAAGCAAAAACACAGAAAAAGAAAGUGCUUGGUCACCUCCUGCCGUAGAAAUUCGGCUGAUUUCCCCCUUGGCUAGCCCAGUUGACGGAGUCAAGAGCAAACCAAGAAAAACUACAGAAGUGACAGGAACAGGUCUUGGAAGGAACAGAAAGAAACUGUCUUCCUAUCCAAAGCAAAUUUUACGCAGAAAAAUGCUGUAAUUUCUUGGGAAGUUUUUAAUGUACACCUAUUUGUAAAGUCAUCAGAAUAGUGUGGAUUAUUAAAUAUCUAGUUUGGAAGAAAAUAAUUU